UUCCUAUACCCAUUUUACAGAUAACGAAAUUGAGGCAAAGAAAUGUUAAAGUCAUGGAGGAGGCAGAACUGAGUUCCAAACUCAGACAGUGAGACUCCAGAACCCUUGUCCUUAACAACAGAGUUAUACCGUUCUCAACCACGAGUGUCCUGCUGGCAAUCAGAAAUACCAGACACAGUUAAGAAGCCUGAUCAUCAGGCAAAUGUGGCAGUUGUCUAAACAGAGGCGACAGGUGCAAAGCCAGAGAAGCAUGGAAAGAGCAUCAGUAAACAUCUGUGACUAAUCAACCAAAGGGGACACAGCCUUACCACUUCUACAGGAUGGUAAAUGUGACUCAGAUGGUGGGAAUUUAUAGCAUCAUGACAGGUGAGAGGGGGAUCUGAAGGGGGAAGCAAGGCCCAUUCUAGAGCCCCCUCUCCCCACCACCACCUGCUCAGAACACUGUGGGGUAAUAGCUUCAACUACACCCUUUUCUUCAUAGAGGUCCAAGGGCACAGAUAGGUCCCAGCUUGUUCCAAAGACACAUUCAGGAAGUUACAAAAUGAGCAUGAAGCCACGCCUCCUUCAUCAGAAGAGACUUGGCUAGCAGCAUCCGCAGGGAGAAGCUCUGGAGCCAGCGGUGCGUUUUUGGUUCUGCAGUUGAAGAAACCAAGCCAAGGAGGCCCAAUAGGCAGCCUUCAGCAUGGAAACCGACCUCCAUCCAACUGAUCAAUGGGAGUCUACCAUCUAAUGCUCUGCAGCCACAGACCCAGCUAUGGGUCCCUUUCCUAUUACACCAUUGACUUAAGGCCACAGGAAUCUAGUGCAACAAAUCAUUCAUGAAAAUAUGUAAAUCAGAUAACCAAUAGGACGUCAGGCUAAAGCUGGCUUCUGUUGCCAUGACACCUCACUCUCACAGGCUUGGUCAGUGGCUGGACUUCACUGCUCUGGACCUUAGGACAGUAUUCCUGCCCACCUCCUCUCAUGUCCCCUGGUGAAUCCAGAUGAAUUCUAGAAUGUGUUCCAGCUGCUGCUAGCUGGAGGGAAUCACAUCCGACUUAGGAAAGUAUUGAGAUUGGGACAGGGCAAUCUCAGCUCCACGAAAGCCCACAACUCCAUUGUCUGGGCAGAGACUGUGGGCCCUCUCUUCCUUCUCUGGGUUGUGGAGAGAAUGCUUGAGUGGAGGUGAGAGAUGGAGAGGAUGUGGAGGGUGAAUGAGCUCCCCAGCAGGGCUGGCUCCCUCUGUUGGGCCAUGUACCUGGGGCUACUCCGGUCAUAGGCAAGAAGCAGGAUAUAAGUCUCUCCUAACUCCCCUGAGAUCUCUGGGGCCGGGGUGGGGAGAGGGAAGGUGGUC